UACGAAGGGGGCUAGCGUUGCUCGGAAUCACUGGGCGUAAAGGGCGCGUAGGCGGCCAUUCCAGUCGGGGGUGAAAGCCUGUGGCUCAACCACAGAAUUGCCUUCGAUACUGUUUGGCUUGAGUUUGGUAGAGGUUGGUGGAACUGCGAGUGUAGAGGUGAAAUUCGUAGAUAUUCGCAAGAACACCAGUGGCGAAGGCGGCCAACUGGACCAACACUGACGCUGAGGCGCGAAAGCGUGGGGAGCAAACAGG
rnacentral:rRNA from 1 species